UCCACUUUUCUACCUUCUACAUAUUGGCUAAAAGAAAGAACACCUUUUCUCCGAGGCUCAAAUCAAGGUUCUAAGGAUAAAUUGACAAAAAAGGUAGGCUUGAAAGGCUCAAACGGUUCAAAGAAGGCCCAAAUCAUAUCCCAAAUUACUUACUACCAACACUUCGUAUCAUAAAUGUCCUAAGGUGAGAUUUAAAACCGAACAAAGCAUGAUUGAGCACAAAUAAAUUCCAAAUUUAAAAUGCAAAACAUUCAACCAAAGCAAUGCACAAGGCGUGAUUCCUAGCAAUAAUUCACUUCUACGUUCCGU
rnacentral:lncRNA from 1 species